GUAGGGAAUAUUGGGCAAUGGUCGGAAGACUGACCCAGCCAUGCCGCGUGCAGGAAGACGGCCCUCUGGGUUGUAAACUGCUUUUAUCUGGGAAGAAAAAGGCCAUGCGUGGCAAAUUGCCGGUACCAGAUGAAUAAGCACCGGCUAACUCCGUGCCAGCAGCCGCGGUAAUACGGAGGGUGCGAGCGUUGUCCGGAUUUAUUGGGUUUAAAGGGUGCGUAGGCGGCUGAUUAAGUCAGCGGUGAAAUAUUUCGGCUUAACCGGAGCAGUGCCGUUGAUACUGGUUGGCUUGAGUGUCGGAGGGGUACAUGGAAUUGAUGGUGUAGCGGUGAAAUGCAUAGAUACCAUCAGGAACACCGAUAGCGAAGGCAUUGUACUGGCCGACAACUGACGCUGAUGCACGAAAGUGUGGGGAUCGAACAGGAUUAGAAACCCGUGUAGUCC
rnacentral:rRNA from 1 species